UGUGAAAAUGGCAACAUGAGAAACGUAUAUAGUUUCCAAGGACCAUCAGUUUCAGGAACUGCCUUUGCCAGCCUCCCUGUAUGCCUUCACACCCAAUACCCACCCCUCACAGGAACCCUGAGCACUCUCUUGCUUUGGAACCAAGGAACUGGUGCACGUGGAGGGGUUUGGAUUUGUUGGCUCCUCGAAACACAUUCCUGCUCUGUUGUUCUGCAAAAAGAAAAUUUGUAAAACUGGGAACAUGAGAAAGCCAGACAGACCUUUGCUCUCUUCCACGAAUGUGGAGUCAUAAAUGAAGAAGUGAAGCAUCUACCACCAGACGGUCCCACUGCUUCCAAGUGGCACACUACCUCCGAGUCAGCACGGUUUCACCCCUGGGAGUGGUUCCCCUGGGGUUCUGCCUGCAGGACAUCUGACCGCUCUCCCUGUGCCCCCGCGAUUUGAGGCGUCUGUCUUCAGCUCCGCACAGGUCCUCUUAGCCUAUUACUCAAUUAGAAAGGGCCCCAUCCUGGACAUCACAUUGCAUUUCAUGGUCCUGUCUCCUUGCUGCUUCUGGUCUGUGACAGUUUCUCAGUCUUUUCCCUGUUUUUCAUAACCUUGACAGUUUUUAGAAGUCAUGGGUCAGGUAUCUUGAAGAAUAUCUCUUAAUUUGGGUUUGUAUGAUGUUCUUAUAAUUGAUUGGGAUUGUGAGUUCCUAGAAAGAAUAUCAGAGGAGAAGAGCCCUUCUCAUAUAUCAUAUUGGGAGUACAUGAUAUCUACAAGACAUCGCUGGUGACGCUGACCUUCAUCUCUUGGUUCAGCUCAUGGUAGUCCUGUGAGGUGCAGAGAUGGAAGAGAUGAAAGCUUGAAGGCUUGAGUUUCUGAUAAAAGUUUAAAGGCCUGGAGUAACACCCCACAGCUAGGAAGUGGGUAAUGUCUUUAAAAUCUCACUACACAAAGUACUGGCUUUGUGAAAAGGCUCUGACCUAUUUUGCCCUGCCUGGAUUGGUUUUAACAUCAUGUAGAUACUUCACUGGCUUUGUCUACUAACCCCAUGCCUGGGGAAUUAUAAGGAAGGGAUUCGGGCACCGUGUUGUCUGCGGCAUGAAUCUUGCCAGGCUGUGGCUGUCACCAAGGUUAUUGGACACUCCUCCCUGAGCAGGACCCACCUGGGAGGCAUGCAGAUGACAAGUGCCACUCAACCUUUUCCUCAGUGCCUGCUGGGCCCCGUGUGCAUGUUCAGGUAAUGAGAGGAACCUCGGAGCAAGUGGAGUAAGUGAGUGUGGUCACUCCAACAACAGACCAACCCAUGAGAGGUCUGAUUUCACGUUAAAAUGGGAAAUAUUUGGUUGAAUGGAAUUGACGGAAAGGCAGGAAUAGCCUUUCUCAUUCCCUCAUGGAUAGAAAAAAUGCACAAACCACGUUAUCUGUUGGGUUGCAUGGAAUCGCUCUGACUGUUUUAUUACCACCAUUCACGUAGCAUUUUAUGUGAAAGGGAAUGCUGGGCG
rnacentral:lncRNA from 1 species